GUCAAACUGAGGUGGCAGCGGGAGGAAGUGCAUCUUUCCUCAAAACUCAACUUCUUGAUUCUCAGCCGCUGGACACUGAGAGAAUCUGGUAGAGCCUUGUGCACUGAAAGUUUUGGGAAGAAGAGCAGUGGACACCUAGAAAGCGGCAUCAGGCUUGAGGCCCAAGAAGAAUGGCUGACGCCUUCAGUACUCCUAUGAGUGCCCAGCAGUGUCCCCUCAGUUCAGCUGUCAUGCAUCAGCACCUGUAUCCUCUUGACCAGCCUGAAGUCCUGCUUCACACAGGUCCCCAACAGGGAAUCUUCCAAGGGCCUCUGAUGUUGAGCUUGCCCACACCAGUCAUCAAUAUAUCCUGUAUUCCGGUGACUCUGAACCUUCAAAUGACCCAUUCUUUCUCAUGGAAUCCCAGGCAGCCCAUGACUAUUCCCUGCCUGUUCCCUAAUGUGAUCAUGCAGCCCAGUACCAACACUGCUGCCCCUGUCAUGCUGGCACAGGUCCUGGACUCCAACAUCUCUUCCCAGAACCCUGCCACUGCUAACCAGGUUCCUGUCAUCUGGGCCCAGAGUAACAACACGUUCAACCAGGUCCCUGAAGUCUACACCCAGGGCCCAGUUACCUCCACCCAGGGCAGCUCAUCUGCUGAGGAACACAGGCAGAAGGUCAUGGAUGCUGCCGAGGCUCUCCUGAUUCUGCAUAACUCCCGGGAGGCACUGCAAGAGACUAGCACCACCCCAGGUCCUGAUGGAGAGUGAAGACUGAGACUAUCCUGCCUGUCCUUGUCACCUCAGGCCACAAGCUCAGCUUCACUGACUGACAACUGGUCAUCAGGAUGCUCACCCGUGCCUCGGAUACUGGACAUGAGAGCCUGAAUAAAGUAUCCCUGUGGUAAAGCA